AUUAUCAGCAUCAGAGGCAGCAGUUUAUUGAGCAUUUUGAUCUAAUUUGAAAAAUUGUAAGCUGAAUUUCUGGACUCUCUCUCAACAGCUCUGAGCUAGGGCUACGUUUGAAAUGAUCCAAGCCUUGUGACUGGCCCCUCCAUGAUGACUUCGACAUGGUUUUCAUGCUGAUUGAACACGUUAAUUGUUGGCUCUGUGGAGUGGAUCUCUGGUGGACAGUGGCAGUACGACUUGUCGCGUGUGUUUUCUGCUUGGUUACCUGCCCAGGGGCGUAGUUCUUGGCGGGGAUUGAGCGCAAGAUCAAGUUACGUCUUUAUCGUACUAGCCCCUCGACAGCUGCACGCGACUCUGUGGUAGCGAUGGGUUCCACUUUGAUAAGCGCACCCAUAAAUCCACCAACAAAACGUAAACUAGAUCAUCGACUGUCUAUUGAAAAUGGAAUUCUAACCCAAAGCUAACAAAUAGAUGAUACGACAAGAACCAUAAGAACUAUUCUCUCCACAAGUACUCGUUGGAGCAAAAGUUCCGAGUGGCUAGGGCCAUCACAUCCAUGAAAAUUUUUAAAAAAUAAUGAUCAGUUUUAGGA